UUGAACCUUUUCUUCCGGGAAAGGGGGAGUCAUCAGUGAGAUACCACUCUUGGUAAGCUAGAGCGCUCAUUUUUAACCGUUAUCCGGUAAAAAGACAGUUUCAGGCGGGCAGUUUGACUGGGGCAGUCACCUCCCAAAAGGUAAUGGAGGUGUACAAAGGUUCUCUCAGGCUGGACGGAAAUCAGCCAUAGAGUGUAAAAGCAUAAGAGAGCUCGACUGCGAGACGGACAUGUCAAGCAGAGACGAAAGUCGGUUUUAGUGAUCCGACGGUGCUGAGUGGAAAGGCCGUCGCUCAACGGAUAAAAGUUACUCUAGGGAUAACA
rnacentral:rRNA from 1 species